ensembl:misc_RNA Metazoa_SRP Metazoan signal recognition particle RNA
GCCAGGUGCAGUGGUGAGUGCCUGUAGACCCAGCUACUUGGGAGGCUGAGGUGGGAGGAUCCCUUGAGCCCAGGAGUUCUGGGCUGUAGUGCGCUAUACCAAUCGGGUGUCCGCACUACGUUGGGCAUCAAUAUGGUGACCUCCCAGGAGCAGGGAACCACUAGGUUGCCUAAGGAGGGGUGAAUCGGCCCAGGUCGGAAAUGGAGCAGGUCAAAACUCAUGUGCUGAUCAGCAGUGGGAUCGCACCUGAAUAGCCACUGCACUCCAGCCUGGGUAACAUAGCGAGACCCCGUCUCUA